rnacentral:rRNA from 1 species
UACGUAGGUCCCGAGCGUUGUCCGGAUUUAUUGGGCGUAAAGCGAGCGCAGGUGGUUUAUUAAGUCUGGUGUAAAAGGCAGUGGCUCAACCAUUGUAUGCAUUGGAAACUGGUAGACUUGAGUGCAGGAGAGGAGAGUGGAAUUCCAUGUGUAGCGGUGAAAUGCGUAGAUAUAUGGAGGAACACCGGUGGCGAAAGCGGCUCUCUGGCCUGUAACUGACACUGAGGCUCGAAAGCGUGGGGAACGAACAGG